rnacentral:lncRNA from 1 species
CCAGGAUUGGCGACCCCUGGCGCCACCCUCACCCCCAUCAGCGUUUGGAUGCCUUCCUCUAGGUCCUUUAGGAGGUCAUAGACGUUGCUGUCAGAGGCGCCGUACACCAGGCUGUUGGCGAAGACACUCCUGAGGAACUGCACGGGCUCCAGCCACGACUGGAUGAGCAGCAGGGAGAUGCGGAGCAGCUCUAGGUUCUGCAGGGGAAGGACGGGCAUUGGCUGUGCUGCCCGGGGACUCUGAGAAACAGAGGGAGGUCUGGGGGUGUCAAAGGCCAGCUGGUGCAGACGAUGGGCGCGGAGCAUAGCGUUGUCAAAAAGCCUGGAUAAGGGAAUGGUUGGGAAGGCAGAGCAGGCCAAAAGCCAGCACUCUCCCUGCUCCAGGAGCUGUUUGUUUUUCUCUCUCCAUCCCUCCAGGGACCAGGAGCUUUCUGAGAUUGGCCAAAUACUGGGCUUACAUGGCGAUACUCACAUUCAGAAGCCCCAAACCUGAGGGUUAGUGCCCCCGUCCCAUCUACAGGUCGCUGCCUCUCCCCUCAGGACACAUUGUGCCCAAAGGGAUUUUAGGGGCGCUUACCUGUAGCCAUUGCAGCUAGGUGAGCUGUCCACAGGACCCUGAGUGGUUCGGGGAGUUGGGCCUUGGGAUCCUUGAGCUGGUCUCUUGUGGGCCCUUUUUAUACCCUGGCCCCUUCUCUCCCACUGUUGACCCCACCUGUUUCUGUGUACAUUUAUGCAUGGGGCCACUGACGGGCUUGUGCUAAUGGAUAAUUUAGAAGCUCCUCCCACACAUGCUGGGAUCAUGCCCCCUGGCUUGUCAUCUUUCCCUUCCCACCGUCACCAGUGUUGUGAGGGUUGUGCACA